GUACUUGCUUCAGCAGCACAUACACUAAUAUUGGAAAGACACAGAGAAGGUUAGCAUGGCUGCUGCGCAAGGAUGGCACACAAAUUCAUGAAGCAUUCCAUAUUAAA